CCUGAUGUAGAUCAGCGGUAGAUCGCCCGGCUGUCAACCGGGAGGGCGCGAGUUCGAAUCUCGCCAUCAGGU
rnacentral:tRNA from 1 species